GAUGAACGCUAGCGGCAGGCCUAAUACAUGCAAGGCGAAGGGGCGGUCACGUCACUGUCGUACGGGUGCGUAACGCGUAUGCAACCUACCUAUCACUGGGGGAUAGCUCGGGGAAACCCGGAUUAAUACCGAAUAAAACAGGGGCCCCCCAUGGUGACAUAUAUUAAAGAUUUAUUGGUGAUAGAUGGGCAUGCGUUAGAUUGGCUAGUUGGCGGGGUAACGGACGACCAAGGCGACGAUGGAUAGGGGAGCGGAGAGGUUGAGCCCCCACACGGGCACUGAGGUACGGGCCCGACUCCUACGGGAGGCAGCAGUAGGGAAUAUUGGGCAAUGGAUGCAAGUCUGACCCAGCCAUGCCGCGUGCCGGAUGAAGGCCCUCAGGGUUGUAAACGGCUUUUAUUCGGGAAGAAGAGCAGGGAUGCGUCCUUGUGUGACGGUACCGAAUGAAUAAGCACCGGCUAACUCCGUGCCAGCCGCCGCCGUAACAC
rnacentral:rRNA from 1 species